CCGCCCUGGGCUCGCCAUUUUCCUUUAUUCAUUUAUCAUGGUAAGUGCUUUGGCCAAAAUACACAAAGCAGAGAAAUUGUUGACAUGUGGGGCCCUAGCAGAGCAAAUCCUUCAUCGUUGUCCCCCUCCCCACUGCACACAAACUAACUUUUUGGGAGUUGUUUAUUUAAGGACUGCAGAGCACUUGGUGCUCUUUGAACCCAACUGCUCUGGGAGAGGGGCUGUGCUGCUGGCCACCACCUUCACUGCCUCUUGCUGUUGCCUGAAGCCAUUUGCUGCUGUUGGGAAGUACCUGCUGGUAACCAAGGGCUGAGGUACGUGCUCAGAACCCCAUUCUGCUUCUCCCUCCGUUCCCCUGGAGUGUGCCACCAGUAGCACACGUGGGCAAAUGAUGGCUUUGCAAAGCUCCCAGGCUGACUUGGACUUUAUUGAGCAAGAACAAAUGACAAGGAUCGCACCAGGACAGUGUUGGGUUUCUCCUCCAUGCUGUGCUUUCUUCUACCAGCAUAGGCUGAGAGCUGUUAGAAAGAACAGAGCUGGGCCGCACAGUGGGCUGCAGCCUGCCGGGGGUCAGACAUCAAGAAAUGGACCGGUGAGGCGGCCACACGUUUGGAGGCUUGAGCUUCAACUCUUGCUGAACUGCUACCUGAGGGUGCCUGGCUGCAGGCUGGGAUGGCAGCGGGUACGGGGCAGUCUGUUCUUGCUGGAAGGGGAGUGUGUCCACAUGGGUGGUGUUUAUCCAAGCAGCUCCUUGGUCUUCGCUGCCAGCAGCUUGUCCAUCUCUGCUGCAGCACUGUCUGCCAUUUGCUGGAUCUGC
rnacentral:lncRNA from 1 species